UACGUAGGCAGCAAGCGUUGUUCGGAGUUACUGGGCGUAAAGGGUGUGUAGGCGGUUCUUUUAAGUUUGGUGUGAAAUCCCCGGGCUCAACCUGGGAAUGGCGAUGGAGACUGCAAGGCUAGAAUCUGGCAGAGGGGGGGUAGAAUUCCACGUGUAGCAGUGAAAUGCGUAGAUAUGUGGAGGAACACCGAUGGCGAAGGCAGCCCCCUGGGCUAAGAUUGACGCUCAUGCACGAAAGCGUGGGGAGCAAACAGG
rnacentral:rRNA from 1 species